AAAAAAUCGUUUUUUUGGUUUUAUUCACUUUGAGUUCUCAGUUUUUGAAUAUUUUGAAUGUGAAAACAAAUUAAUUCGUUAAUAUUAUUAUUAUUGAGGUUCUCAGGACCACAAAAAUAAUAGAAAAUCAUCUAAAAGAUUUGGAAAUUGGAUUAUCUCUUCGUUCUCCCCACUGGUUAAGUGUUUUCUUUUUAAAAUCUUAAAUGGGAUUAGUGUUUGUUUUCCAAUUCCAUUUUGUUAUUGUUAAUCUUUUUCUCUCUAUCUCUUAACCGUUUAUUGUUUUUCUUUUGUUGGUUGAUUAAUUUACUGUUAAUUGAGUGAAUAAAUUUUGCUCAUCAAUUUAAAAAUUAAUCAAGGUAAAUUAUCUACUUGUUCACAUGGUGUUAAUUGACUGGUCAUUUACUUAAUCUAUUUAUUUAAUUUGGAUUAACAUUUACUACCGAAGGAGAAUUAAAAAAUUUUCCUACCUAUUGAUGUUUCUGAUUCCAUUGGAAGUGACCAGCUAAUCGAUACCGUUGAUGCAGUUACACUUGCGAUCCACAAUUUAGGUGACAAGGGUGGAUC